GACGUAGGGCGCAAGCGUUGUCCGGAUUUAUUGGGCGUAAAGAGCUCGUAGGCGGCUUGUCGCGUCGACUGUGAAAACCCGUGGCUCAACCAUGUGGUCUGCAGUCGAUACGGGCAGGCUAGAAUUCGGUAGGGGAGACUGGAAUUCCUGGUGUAGCGGUGAAAUGCGCAGAUAUCAGGAGGAACACCGGUGGCGAAGGCGGGUCUCUGGGCCGUAACUGACGCUGAGGAGCGAAAGCGUGGGGAGCGAACAGG
rnacentral:rRNA from 1 species